GAGGUUAAGAUGAAAUGACGACAUACUAGACUAUAUAGCUAGUUACGGAGGGUUCAAAUCCCUCUAACCUCU
rfam:Listeria bacteriophage P100, complete genome.